GAUGAACGCUGGCGGCGUGCUUAACACAUGCAAGUCGAACGAAGAUGCCGGAGUGCUUGCACUUUGGCAGACUGAGUGGCGGACGGGUGAGUAACGCGUGGGUAACCUGCCUUAUACAGGGGGAUAACAGUUGGAAACGACUGCUAAUACCGCAUAAGCGCACGGUAUCGCAUGAUACAGUGUGAAAAACUCCGGUGGUAUAAGAUGGACCCGCGUCUGAUUAGCUUGUUGGUGAGGUAACGGCCCACCAAGGCGACGAUCAGUAGCCGGCCUGAGAGGGUGAACGGCCACAUUGGGACUGAGACACGGCCCAGACUCCUAUGGGAGGCAGCAGUGGGGGAUAUUGGACAAUGGGGGAAACCCUGAUCCAGCGAUGCCGCGUGAGGGAAGAAGGUUUUCGGAUUGUAAACCUCUGUGGACAGGGACGAUAAUGACGGUACCUGACUAAGAAGCACCGGCUAAAAUACGUG
rnacentral:rRNA from 1 species